AAUGAACGCUGGCGGUAUGCCUAACACAUGCAAGUCGAACGGACACACAAUAAGCUCUUGCUCUUACGGUUGGCGGCGGACGGGCGGGUGAGACGUAGAUCGCCUUCUUCUAUUUCGGGGAUGAUAUCGUGAAGCCAGAGACACUACUGGAUAAUAUGAUCUACGGCAGAAAGCAAUAGAUAAACACGGCUUUCCCGUCUCAAUUAGCUGGUUUCGGGCCGCCUUAGCUAGUUGGUAAGGUAACGGCCAACCAAGGCUACGAUGCGUGGCCGACCUGAGAGGGUGAUCGGCCACACUGGAACUGAGACACGGUCCAGACUCCUACGGGAGGCAGCAGUAGGGAAUCUUCGGCAAUGGGCGAAAGCCUGACGGAGCAACGCCGCGUGGGUGAAGAAGGUCUUCGGAUCGUAAAACUCUGUUAUUAGGGAAGAAAAAAUGUGUAAGUAACUAUGCACGUCUUGACGGUACCUAAUCAGAAAGCCACGGCUAACUACGUG
rnacentral:rRNA from 1 species